UUCUAAUUCACAUUGAUUGAUACUCGAUCAAUUAUUAUUCAUUGAGGAUAAUGACUUCCAGUGCAUUAAGUAAGCCAAUCGGUCCAGGUUGGAAGUAUGGAACUUGUCCAAAUCCUCUUAACAAGAAUAUGAUCGAGUGCAAGUUUUGCAAAAACUGUUAUAAUGCCGGCAUCAACAGAUUGAAGAAGCAUGUAGCCGACAUUAAGGGUGGCGUCACGCACUCUAGUGCCUGCUAAGGUCAGGAGAUAUGCUAGAGAACUUGGAGGGGGUGAAAGCCAAGAAACAGGAGGUGAGAAUAACACGGGAUGAACUUGUAAGGGCUGUAGAUGUUCUUGAAGUUCGAAGAGAGGAAGAAGACAUUUAUAUUGAGGUUGGUUAUUUUAGUAGGCCAAGAACAAGACGACCUAUGGAUGCUUUCGUCCCUUGCCUUGAUCCUGAGGUACUACCACGAGAAAGGGGUCAAACAAUCUUAGAGACCCAUUUGAAGAAGGAUGAAAGAGAAAGGGUCAUCCAAUAUGUGGGGAGGUAGAUGUUUCAAGCAACAUUUCUUUUAAUGCCGUUAACUUGAGUAGCUUCCAAGCUAUGUUGGAAGCAGUGGGCUUGUUUGGGCCAGGGUUGAGGGCUCUAACUGCUUAUGAGCUUAAAGGGCCAAUGCUAAUGAAUAACUACUUGAAGACCCACACUUAUGCAUAGGGUGUAUAUGGUUGCACAAUAAUGACCGAUGGCUGGAAUGAUAAGAGGUGCAUAAGCAUCAUGAAUUUGAUAGUGAAUUGUUCCAUUAGGGAAAAUGUUCAAGAGGUCUAUUGAUGCUUCAGACAAGUCUCAUGAUGCAGAGUUCAUUUUUAAUUUGGUGGACCAGUGUAUAGAGGAGAUAGGGGAGGAUAAAGUGGUCCAAAUUGUGACCGAUAUCUAUUCAACUACUAUGGCGGCUGAUAGAUUAUUGAUGGAUAAGGGGCUGCGUAUUUUCUAAUCCCCUUGUGGAGGAGGAUGCUGCAUAGACCUCAUGCUUGAGGCCAUUGGUACGAGGAAGACAUUCAUGACAACCAUCGAAAAGGCAAAGAAAGUCGUAGUUUAUUUGUACAGUCACACUCAGGUCUUAGUUAUGAUGAGAAAGUUUAUUAAGAACAAAGACUUGGUGAGGCCUUGGGUGACUAGAUUUGCCACCUCGUGCUUGUCCUUACAAUCUUUAUUUGAGCAGAAGGAAAAAGUGAGGUCCAUGUUUGUGUUUGAGGAUUGGGCCAAGUCCAAUUGGUCCAAGAAAGAUGAUAAAAGAGUUGUUGUGGACAUUAUUAUGGACUCAAGAUUUUGGAACAAGGUCCAGUAUGCCUUGUUAGUCUUUCACCCUUUGGUAAAUGUUCUCAAGAUGUUUGAUGCUGAGAAGAAACUUGCUAUGGGGCAUAUCUAUAAAGCCAGGCAAGAUGCAAAGGAAGAAAUCAACAGAUCUUUGUGGGAUGAAAAGUGGUAUAGGGAGUUUUUGAAGAUUAUUGAAGACAAAUGGAACUCCCAGCUUGAGAUGCCCCUACACUUAGCAGAAUACUACCUUAAUGCUGCUCACUUUUACACCGAUGCUGAGGUAUAUAGUAGGCCUGAGUUCAUGGAUGCUUUCAACCAGUGCAAUGUGAAGCUCAACCCUGAUCGUGAAGUGCAAGAUAAGGCAAUGAUGGAGUUAGAUUUGUAUAGGCUUGGUACUGGAUCUCUAGGUAAGGAGGUGGCAGUCAGGCAAAGCUACAAGAUCCCGCCCUGUGCAUGGCAGAUGGGCCAUUGUGGAAGCACCCCUCAUUUGAGGCAGAUGGCCAUGAAAAUACAAAUCUGUCUUGCAGCUCUUGUGGAUGUGAGCGCCACUUCAGCGCCUUUAAAAUGGUGCAUACAAAGAAGAAUAAAUUAGAGCAAAAAUGACUGAACGACUUAGUCUUAGUUCAGUACAAUCAAAAGUUGCAACUUCAACACCUUUCAAAUGGUGCAUACACAGAAGAGGAACAGACUAGAGCAAAAAUGACUGAACAACCUAGUCUUAGUUCAGUAUAAUUACAAGUUGCAAGAGCGCCAUCAACAGUUGGAGCACAAUCAUAGGGAGGCUAUUGAAGCUUUUGAUAUUGAUGACACAUGCGAGUGAUCGGUCAAUGCUAGUGAUGAUGAGGUUUUCCUUGGAGAGGGCUUGACCUGGGGCCAGGUUCGUGAGGUUGUUGGGAUAGCAAUGCCCCCUGAGCAUACCACUCGGGCUCAAACUCAGAGCCAAAGGAAGGGGAAGGAGAAGGCCCAGCAAGGGAAGGUAGUGAAGGGAAGGCAGUGACGAAGAAGUGGAAUAGGGUGAUGACAUCAAAAGAGGAUGAUGAAGAGGAAGAAGUAGAUUCAGAGGAGACGAGGGAUGACGCUCAAUAUGUUGAGGAGGGCGAUGACUCUGAUGAUGUUGGCAUGGAAACAUCAUCAUUAGAUGCUCCUCAUGCUCCAAUUGAACACCCUGUGUGGUGGUGCCUCUUAUGCCAUAGAGUUGUUUGGUUGAUGGCUUGAUGUAGUUUUUGUUUUUAAUUUUACCUUGUUGACUUUGUGUAUCGUUUCUAGACUAGACUUCUAGUUUCCUACAAUGAUUUUUGGGAUUUCAAGCAUUUCAAUGUCUUAGAACUUACAAGCUACAAACUUACAAUCCCUUUGAGACUUGUAUCAUCUGUAAAUCUGUUAUGUGAUUGUAGUAUUGUAUUUGUACUAUUAUGUUUUCGUCUAUUUCAAGA